GACGAACGCUGGCGGCGUGCUUAACACAUGCAAGUCGAGCGGAAAGGCCCUUCUGGGUACUCGAGCGGCGAACGGGUGAGUAACACGUGAGUAACCUGCCCCAGACUUUGGGAUAACCCUCGGAAACGGGGGCUAAUACCGGAUACGACACAGCUUCGCAUGGGGUCUGUGUGGAAAGUUUUUCGGGUUGGGAUGGGCUCGCGGCCUAUCAGCUUGUUGUUGGGGUGAUGGCCUACCAAGGCGACGACGGGUAGCCGGCCUGAGAGGGCGACCGGCCAAACUGGGACUGAGACACGGCCCAGACUCCUACGGGAGGCAGCAGUGGGGAAUAUUGCACAAUGGGCGGAAGCCUGAUGCAGCGACGCCGCGUGAGGGAUGACGGCCUUCGGGUUGUAAACCUCUUUCAGCAGGGACGAAGCGUAAGUGACGGUACCUGCAGAAGAAGCGCCGGCCAACUACGUG
rnacentral:rRNA from 1 species